rnacentral:misc_RNA from 1 species
AAAUCUCAUAAAUAAAUCAUUUUUGUUUAAACAUUUUUGUUUGUUUGUGGACUUGGAUUUGCGAUUUUACAAAUUGCUGAUCUAAAAUGAAUUUCAUGAAGCUUAUAUAUUGCUUUGUUCCUUUGCUUAAUAGUUUUGCUUUGUCAAAUCUUUUGCAAUUGUUUACAAAUGCGCAAAAAGUGAAUUGAUUUUUUACGAAUCUAUAAUCUCAUU